rnacentral:misc_RNA from 1 species
GAGAUGUUAUAGGGGAGCGUUUUAACCAGAGAUAAAACGGUGGCGUUUGAAGUUGAGUAAGGGGGCGGAGAGUUGAUGGUGACGGUGUUGGUGAUGGGAUUCCGGCACGGUUAACAUUACCCGGAAUUGGAGGCGGCGGGUCACGUGGUUUGGAAAAGAGUGGUAACCAGUACACCGGAGGUAGGAAUCUGAUGGAGUUCAGACCAGGAGAAGUACUGCAAAAGGAC